rnacentral:lncRNA from 1 species
UAGCAACUCCAGCAUCCCCUUAAGUAUUCAAAUAUAACGAAGAAAUAAGAACCUAUAAGAGUCUGAAAGGAUUCUCUAAACUCUAAAUCGUGCGGUGCAUCAACACCUUUAAGCCCGUAUCAGACUACGUAUUGGAGAUUGGAGAUUGCGAAUUGGAGAUUGGAAUCCGACGAAUCAAAACAAAGCAGACCCAGAUUGCUUUGUUCUGAUUGGUCAAAUUUCAAUCUCCAAUUUGCAAUCUCCAUUCUCCAAUACGUAGUCUGAUACGGGCUUUAUUACACGCGUUCACAUAUUUGUGGCGCGAGCUUGACCACGUGGUUACACCCACGUGACCGCGAUAUCUUUACUUGGGGUGCUCGAUGCGAUGCAUCGAAUAAAUUUGCGCAUUAUUGUUAUUAUCGGAAGGUACUUGAUCAUCGAAUAAUAAUUUUAAGUGCCCGAAUUAAACACUCAUGUUAUCUCGAGUCGGUGAACCCGACGUCAUUAGUAUUGUUACAGAUAUAAAUAAGUGCCACUUAAACACCGAGCGUAAAUCGAGCGCGGUUGUCUAUUUUAAACCCGGAAUUAAAAAUAACGAGAUGACAACUGUAUAGAGAUGAUUUUUAACUUCUACAUUUGCGCGAAAAAUUAUCCAAACGAGAUUGAAUUAAACCAGAUUUAGACUUGUAGAAAAUAAGAGAUAGAUAAUUUUCUAUACUAAAGUAUAGAAAAGAUAAAAAAAUAAAGUUUAAAUAAAAACUCAGAUCUCUCUCUCUCUUUCUCUCUUAAAAAAAAUAUGAGAGAAAUUAUAGUUGUAUUCAACAUCAAGAUAAAGUUUCUUUGCAACUGUCGAAUACUUCGUAAGUCUUAAGCAGCAAAGAUCCUUAAAGGGUUGUUAUGUUUCACGCGUGUUGAGGGGCUAAUCGAAUGGCGAGAAAAGCGUUUUGUAGGACUGCCGUGAAUACUGGCGCGUUAAACGCCUUCAAGGCCUUUGUAAUGUAGACUCAAUCACCGCCAAUCUACAGGGUCUUAGCAAUUUGCCUCCUUGAAUGAUCUCAAGCGGCAUCUGCGAAUCGCAAAGCAUCGCGAUAGUCGAAUACUUGACUUAUAAGGAUGCAUGAUUUAACCAAUUAUCUUUCGCAUACUAAGUGUGCGAAGGAACAAGUAUCGGUGAUAUGCUUUUUUGCGACACAUACAUAUUAAAAAUCCUUCUAGUAAGUACUGAUUCGUAUGCGAAUUUAAUCUUCAUUGUUUACUCGAUGAUCACGAUCGAUUUUUGUUCCUUGUCCGCACUGACAGUUUUACUAUGCAUGCUUACAUGUUUCAUCAUGUUGAACGUUGAAUUGCCAGAAAAACUUGACAUGUUUGGCGCGAAAUACAAGAAACCAUGCCUCUUGUUUACUCUUCUGAAAUAGAAUCACAUUUUGUUCUUUUGUGGCAUUUUCGGGGUCCCUCUUUCAAGGUUUUCGUCUUCACAUAUUUCAUAUCACAUAGUCAGAUAUUAGAAAAUUAUGUAUUAAUUGUUUCUUCACAAGGCAAUACAAUGAGCGAUGCUUAUGAGUAUCGACGAUUUAUAUCGUUCAAAUUUCGCGCAUGAAAAUAUCAGUAUGAAUGUUAGUUGCUUUUAAGUUGAAUGUAAAUGCUGAUUGGUCGCGUGCAUUGCUCUUGUCGUUGAUUGCUCAUCCCAGAACAAAAGCGGCCAAUUAGAGAUAAUGCCGGGUAUCUGUGCGAGUUUACCAUAUCAAUAUGUUAUAUUCGAUGCGGCAGAAGUGGUGUCGUAUUAUUAAAAAUUAUCAAUUUCUAUAGAACUCCAGGCAGCAAAAUGAGAAACAUUAAUAAAUCAAGAUAUCGCGUCAUAAAUUUAUUAAAUUCCUUAUUCAACAUAAUUAUAAUACAAUACUUAAUUAAAAUAACAAAUAUUUAUGUAUCGUAAAUAAUAUGGAAAAAUAUCUCUACUUCGAGAACAAGAAUUUUUAAUAGGUAUUUUCUGUCCAAUGGUUUGCCGUAAAAUAUGCUAGUGUAAUACAAAAUUAUGAAUGUCAUGUCGAGAGGAUACAUAUAUGUAUAGAGAAGUAUCGAUCCUUAUCGAAUACUUUUUAUUCAAUACUGCUUCUCACGUAUCAGUAUGUGAAGUGUGUAGAAUUGUACAUGUGCAUUUAAAAGCGUAAAAUGUUGGAAACUAAAUGCGGCAUCAAAGUUGUAUUCACACUGACAAUAGGUUGCGUAUAGAAUAAAUUAAAUUAAAUUAGAUAUUUAACCAAGCGUACUUACCUGCAAAAAUAUUUUCUACAUUUAUUUCGAAACAGUUUGAAAAGAUAAAGUUAUACCAAGAAGUCCUCUGAUGUUGCGAGAAAUCUGAGCUGCCAUGACUGUUGUUUAUUAUCUCAAUUAGCGAUAUCAGAAGUCCCUUAGGCAUUAAGAUGAAUCAUAUUUGUUUAUACUAUCUCAAAUGUCAGAUUCAAAAACAUCCGCGUGCAUCUGAACUUUUCGUAAUUUUGAUUUUAUGAGACGUUAUUUCCUCAUAUAUAAUCUUCAAAUUAACAAAAGAUACACGCAACUUCAAACUUGAUCGAAACUGGUUCUUUUCAUGUUUUGUAAAUUAGCAUUUCACCGACUGUUUGUUGAUUUGAAAUUUGGUGCAUUUACAUAAUUAUUUAUUCCAGAAACGUAUGCAUUCGAGUAUGUAGUCAGUACUUAAUUGACUAACAUUAGGACUAGUCAAUGUCUGAGCUAAACUGUUUUUUUUUGUUGAGGUUUGAGCUAGCGAGGUGACGGACCUGAUUCGCAAUUCAGCAGCGCUCAGCUGAUCGAGCAGCUGAACACGCGAAAACAGCAAACGAUUUGAGGAAGCUAACGCACGUGAUCGCGAAACGUGAUAGAAUCCGAAUGUGACACUUGUACCAGUGAUGCUCAAACGAAAUGCUCAUGAAAAUUCUGCAAGAUUUUUGAGGACGUUCCAUGGGGAAAUUCUUAAAGAAUUUACUAAAGAUUCUAGUCGGUCUUUCAAAUAUUUUCAGUGACUCUCAAAAUAUUUUACGUGGAGAAAUCGGAAGAAGUUUUGUUUCAUGUUUGUGUUGAGCGUGUUAUCUUUCUAUGAGAACCGCAAUGAUAAUAGGCCGUCCACCUAAAGAUAAGGCCCCGAGAGUUCAGUCCACAAAAACGCGUCUCUAUUCAGCAUUCAUCUCGUUCUCAUGGUCGUCGUGAAAUAAAACCUCGCCUACCGUUUCUCUCUUGCUCCCGCACAGUGUGUGCUCUUCGUCUAAUCGAGUCACAUGUAUGCGUAGUUUCGCUAUAAAAUGCUAAUUUUAUACAAUUUUAUACAGUGGGACAGGGAUACUGCCGUCAUCUACUAAUGUUCCACGUAAGAUUAACCAUUAAUUAAUAAAAUAUUAAUAACGUGCGCGAUAUAGAGAGAAGAAGAAUAAUAAAUAAAUCAAUGUAUUUUCCUAAUCAAAUAAUUCACGUUACACAACGUUCACGUUAGCUUCCAUCGAGAUCAUAUCGAUCGAUACGAGUGUGCUUGAAUGUGUACACAUACAUGUAUCGAUCGUCGCAUAGUGGAAGCGCCGAAUAACAGUUAAGCCGUAAAAGCGCGACGAUAAAUAAGCAAGGCGGGUCAUCGUCCAGCGAGAUACGAGGAUUCAUGUUUAACGAGCCGUCCUGAAGUCGCCAUCGUUCAUGCGCGCGCGGGCAUUACGAUACUCGACGCUUCUCGAUGGUAUCGAAGUAUCAAUAGGACCAAGUUUUGAUAUCUUCCGUUGAUAAAUUUAAUCUUGAAAUCAUUAUGAAAUGAAGUCUCGAUAGUUUGGACUCUCAAGAUGCUGGAAUGAGUCGAUUUUUCUUGAAAGAUUCGUAAACGAAAUAUUCACGAAAAAAGAAGAAAAAACCGACUGAGUCAUUGUCGUCAUGGGAUUUCCAUAUGAUCUAUCGUCAUGAGAUGGCCAGUAAUCAAACGAUUAAUAAGAGCGACUAAUAAUACGCGCGAGCUUGCAGACGCUCGCCAUACCGCCGACGACCACGUAGGAGCUUGCCUUCACGCGUGUAUGUGUGUGCGCACGUGUGUGCGCCAGGCGUGCAUGUAUACCAUGUAAUGUGCAUAUACGUGAGGAGUAAUUGAACGGUAGGCACGCAUAGAGAGAAAGAGGGGGCGAGCAAGCAACAAACAUGUCGUUGAGCGCGAUCGUCUCGUGCACAUUGGACUUUAUUGCCUUUGCUGACUUAUUGUGCGAGAGUGACAGAACGAUCAGCGAGACGACCACAGGCAGGCUCUGGACGAAGAAGAGAAGAGGUGUAAACCUUGAUUUAUUCAUGGUUUAGAAUACACGCUUCUCGGGAGCGCAAGGGGAAGAUUACGAGGGUGGCAAGUGAAGUGAUCGUAGCGUAUUGCUAAAGUUUAUCCCGACUUAAUUUAAAGUGAAAGCAGAUGCCUAAUUUGUACGUGAUUGCAUUUUCCAAAAUCCUGUUGUAUCCUGCUAUUGGUGAUAGAAAUUGAAUGUGCAUUAUAAAUUGUCGAUACUCUGCAGUAUCCAGAAACCAGGAAGAAGAUACAAUAAAACACGCGUGACUCUCUUGAACACCCUGUAAGUACUAACAUAACGGAUGGACGCUAAUAGUGCUAACGAUAAAUAUUUCUUAAUCAUCACAUUCUCGCCUCGAUGAUUUUUCAUGCUCGCUCAGCGCUUUUUAGAUCAGGUUUCCGCGGCGACCGAGAUAACAAUAAUGAUAAAUAAUAAUAAACAUAUGUAUAUACACGCUAUGAGUAUCGCGUGCAGUGAGUUCGCAAGCCUUUACGCUGCGCAGAUUGCGUAUAUUCGCGAUGGUUCGCGAGAAUUUCGCGGCGUGUUGAUUUCAUUAUCGAA